UUGUGAUAUUUCAUUCUGAUGCCCAGUUCUAGCAUUUACCACUGAUACUCAAAUACCACUGAGGAGAUUUGAAAAUAUAACAAUGCACAAUAUAUUUAUCAGACUGAUACAAUAAUGGCCUGUUGAUGGAAAUUUUACAUCAACUGUUCAUAUGUAACGGUGCAAUUAAAGCUAAUAAUGAGAGCUGAUAAUAGGAAGCCAAAUUGCCUUAAUUGACUUAAAGCUGCUUUAAGUGUUGUUCUCACUUUAGCUAACUUCCUGCCCAAUUUGCAGUUAGCGAUCCGCUCUCUCCUCUGUACACCACCACACGAAUAUGAUAAUGACCAUACAAAGCAGGAAACAGGAGGAUCCUACUCGCUACGAGUUCACACACAGACAGGACUGCCUCUUUGUGGAGUUCUCUGUCCUGAUUGGAUAAAGUGGGCAGGGAUACCAAAACAUUUCUUUACCUUUUUGACAAAUCAACGAAGGCAGGAGAGACAUCCGUUACUGCCCAAACACUUUGAAAUAUAGAGCUAUUAAUACUUAUUUCAAUAAAAGUAUAUCACUUACAGCAGCUUUAACAGGCACUGCAUCUACACACUCUGGCACAGGAGGUGGUAGUGAGCAACUUUGUAAACUUCGUUUGUGAUCAACAGUAUCAGCCAUGAGAAGCAGGCACACUGCACUCCAUCUGACAACUUCCCACAAAACCCCUCCACAAGACUGAAGCAUCGCACAUUAGAGACCACUGCUGACUGUUUAUGACGUGGUGGGACAAGCUGUGACAUCCUCUCAGAGCUGUUUGGCAGGUUUGACAAGAGAUGUUGAGGAAGAAGAAGAAGAGGAAGAAGAGGAACCCUGCAUCAGCUGAGCUCCUGUGCUACAGAGGGCUGCUAUAGGGGUGACCCUGUGGACCAGAGUGGAGCCAAAGGGGGAAAAAAAAAAUAAAAAUCUACCAAUGAAU